CCCCGUUGCCAUGGCGGCGAUGGCGGCGGCGGCGGCGGCGGCCGGACCCGGGCGGCAAAGUGGCCCCGAAACCGAGUCCCCGAGGCGCCCCAAGCGUCCCCGAGCUACCCCAAGUUACCAGAUGUUGACAAUGAGGAAACAACAGGGUUGUCAUACCUAGUAGGACAAAGAGGCUAUGGAAACAAACAUGGACUAAUCCAGUGGCACGCAGCUGUGAUGGAAGGACAUCCUGGUCAGCUGCACAGCUUUUCCUGGGUGCAUGUGAAAAGUCUUCAUUUGAAAGUUUGCUAAACAACAAAUCCUUCAAAUAGAACAGGUUGCAACUCUGCUCUGCCUGGAAAGUACACAUGCAUGGCCUGUCUCUCACUGGAUGCAUGCCAGACUGUCCUUUGGGAUGUAGCCCAGUGAGCAGGAGAAAUGGGUUUGGACUUGGCAAAAUGGCAAUAAGCAUAAAGGAAGAAACUGGAGAGCUGCUUCAUCAGUGCAAAUCCAUGCUGUGGUUGGUCUCAUGAAAAGGAUCAUAUUGAUGAAUUAGUGUAGCUACCAUUCCAGCUGUGGAAGAAUACCUCAUACAGAAAAAAUCCAUAGGUGACUAAUAGGUGUGGUAAGGAGCCUUUGAAAUUUGGGAGAAACAUUUGGUAUGCCUGGAAAUCAACCUAGAUCUAAAUUACCUGCCACUGUGGAUAUUUUAAUCUUAAUUCAUGCUUUUCCACCACAUUUCAGAAUGCGCCCUUUAUUUGAACAGCUUUGCUUUCCUGUUUGUUUGUUUUUUAUGUUUGUCAGUCAUUACACAGUGCUAUUUAGAAUCAAUUUAGCACCUUUCCAUGUGUUGAGUGGUUGUGGUGAGUGAUGAUUGCAGGAUUAGCCUGCUAGUAAUUAAAUAUUGCUGCCUCUUAGCUUGAAAAUGAAACAUCUCUAUGGAAUUUAAGAGUUUCUUGCUUUAUUCAGGUUGUGCAUGUCUAAAUAGUAUGGAUAGGUGUACCAAGACAGUGCAGGCACAGUGCAAUCUUUUAAAAAAAUAAAUUAAAAAAGCAAAAAGAAAAAGGGGGAGGGGUAGAGAGAGAGGAAGAAGAGAAAAAGAAAUUGAGAGAAGGAAAACAAACUCAACCAAUCAUUAAAACUUUGAAUUGUAUGGGAAAUCUUCCACACUUUGCUGAAUCCUGGGUGUAAUUUCCUAAUUUUGGCUUUGUACAAUCCAGGUAAGGUUUCCUGUCUGGACUCAUUUUUACUCACAGAUGGGUCUUCAAAAUUUGCAAGUGUUAAGUUGUGUAAAAUAGGAUGUGUUGCCUGUCUGUUGAAGCCGAGGGGUACCUGUCUUAGUAAAGCAGAGGCUGGGUUCCUCACCAUUUGUGGACCCAAUGGAUGCUUGUUUUUCAUAUUGGCUCUACCACUACGAAGAGUUUUACCUCUUGAAUUCACUGAUUAAUGGUUUAAGCAGAAUGAAGCCUUUUUUUAUUUUUUUCCAAAUCUGCUACCAAAAAUCACAUUAUUUCACCAUUCAAAGACAGUUCUUUGAUCCGUACCAUGCUCCUCACAGGACUGCAGCAGUGUAACCUCUUAUGAUACAAAUGAUGAGCUUCUGUUUGAAAUAAUAGGGAUGAUGCCUAAUCCUGAACAGACAUGAGACGGAUUUUAAAUAAAGGUUGUCAUUGAGAGGCCUGUAAGUUAACCUCACUUAGUUCUGUCUGGCCUAUGUUAGGGUGAAGAUGAAGGCGUUUGAGUCUCUUAAUUGAAGCAGAGCAUGAGCUUUUUACCUUGAACUCUUGUUACAUUUAAGGGUUCCUGCUGAAUAACAAUAAUAAAAGAUGAAUUCCA